AGCGGAUGACUUGUGGCUGGGGGUGAAAGGCCAAUCAAACCGGGAGAUAGCUGGUUCUCCCCGAAAGCUAUUUAGGUAGCGCCUCGUGAACUCAUCCUCGGGGGUAGAGCACUGUUUCGGCUGGGGGGCCAUCCCGGCUUACCAACCCGAUGCAAACUGCGAAUACCGAGGAAUGUUAUCACGGGAGACACACGGCGGGUGCUAACGUCCGUCGUGAAGAGGGAAACAACCCAGACCGCCAGCUAAGGUCCCAAAGUCAUGGUUAAGUGGGAAACGAUGUGGGAAGGCACGGACAGCCAGGAUGUUGGCCUAGAAGCAGCCAUCAUUUAAAGAAAGCGUAAUAGCUCACUGGUCGAGUCGGCCUGCGCGGAAGAUGUCACGGGGCUAAACCAUGCACCGAAGCUGCGGCAGCGACGCUUAUGCGUUGUUGGGUAGGGGAGCGUUCUGUAAGCCGCUGAAGGUGUGCUGUGAGGCAUGCUGGAGGUAUCAGAAGUGCGAAUGCUGACAUAAGUAACGAUAAAGCGGGUGAAAAGCCCGCUCGCCGGAAGACCAAGGGUUCCUGUCCAACGUUAAUCGGGGCAGGGUGAGUCGACCCCUAAGGCGAGGCUGAAAAGCGUAGUCGAUGGGAAACAGGUUAAUAUUCCUGUACUUGGUGUUACUGCGAAGGGGGGACGGAGAAGGCUAGGUUAUCCGGGCGACGGUUGUCCCGGUUUAAGCGUGCAGGUGUGAAGACCAGGCAAAUCCGGUCUUCUUUAACACUGAGGCGUGACGACGAGCCGCCACGGCGGUGAAGUAACUGAUGCCCUGCUUCCGGGAAAAGCCUCUAAGCUCCAGGUAACACGAAAUCGUACCCCAAACCGACACAGGUGGUCAGGUAGAGAAUACCAAGGCGCUUGAGAGAACUCGGGUGAAGGAACUAGGCAAAAUGGUGCCGUAACUUCGGGAGAAGGCACGCUGGCGCGCAGGUGAAGGGACUUGCUCCCGGAGCCGAGGCCAGUCGAAGAUACCAGCUGGCUGCAACUGUUUAUUAAAAACACAGCACUGUGCAAACACGAAAGUGGACGUAUACGGUGUGACGCCUGCCCGGUGCCGGAAGGUUAAUUGAUGGGGUUAUCCGCAAGGAGAAGCUCUUGAUCGAAGCCCCGGUAAACGGCGGCCGUAACUAUAACGGUCCUAAGGUAGCGAAAUUCCUUGUCGGGUAAGUUCCGACCUGCACGAAUGGCGUAAUGAUGGCCAGGCUGUCUCCACCCGAGACUCAGUGAAAUUGAAAUCGCUGUGAAGAUGCAGUGUACCCGCGGCAAGACGGAAAGACCCCGUGAACCUUUACUAUAGCUUGACACUGAACAUUGAGCCUUGAUGUGUAGGAUAGGUGGGAGGCUUUGAAGCGCGGACGCCAGUCUGCGUGGAGCCAACCUUGAAAUACCACCCUUUAAUGUUUGAUGUUCUAACGUAGGCCCGUGAUCCGGGCUGCGGACAGUGUCUGGUGGGUAGUUUGACUGGGGCGGUCUCCUCCCAAAGCGUAACGGAGGAGCACGAAGGUUGGCUAAUCCUGGUCGGACAUCAGGAGGUUAGUGCAAUGGCAUAAGCCAGCUUGACUGCGAGAGUGACGGCCCGAGCAGGUGCGAAAGCAGGUCAUAGUGAUCCGGUGGUUCUGAAUGGAAGGGCCAUCGCUCAACGGAUAAAAGGUACUCCGGGGAUAACAGGCUGAUACCGCCCAAGAGUUCAUAUCGACGGCGGUGUUUGGCACCUCGAUGUCGGCUCAUCACAUCCUGGGGCUGAAGCAGGUCCCAAGGGUACGGCUGUUCGCCGUUUAAAGUGGUACGCGAGCUGGGUUUAGAACGUCGUGAGACAGUUCGGUCCCUAUCUGCCGUGGGCGCUGGAGAAUUGAGGGGGGUUGCUCCUGGUACGAGAGGACCGGAGUGAACGCACCGCUGGUGUUCGGGUUGUCAUGCCAAUGGCACUGCCCGGUAGCUAAGUGCGGAAGAGAUAAGUGCUGAAAGCAUCUAAGCACGAAACUUGCCCCGAGAUGCGUUCUCCCUGACCCCCUGAGGGUCCUGAAGGGACGUUGAAGACGACGACGUUGAUAGGCCGGGUGUGUAAGCGCAGCGAUGCGUUGAGCUAACCGGUACUAAUGACCCGUGAGGCUUAACCUUACAACGCCAGAGGCGUUUUG
rnacentral:rRNA from 1 species